rnacentral:misc_RNA from 1 species
GCAAACUUGGUCAUUUAGAGGAAGUAAAAGUCGUAACAAGGUUUCCGUAGGUGAACCUGCGGAAGGAUCAUUAACAAGCCGUGGGGAUCACCCUGAGAGGGGGCAGAUUCCUCACCUGGCCACCCUUGUUUACUUCAAUGCCUUUGUUGCUUUGGUGGGCCUGCCAUUAGGCUGCCCGUGAAACUGAGUUUCUGGGUUCGUGUUCACCAAGCGUUUAACUAAAUCUGUAAAGUCCUGUUGUCUGAGUGGCAGAAGCAAAACUUGAUAAAACUUUCAACAACGGAUCUCUUGGUUCCGGCAUCGAUGAAGAACGCAGC